GAGACGCGGCCCCGCCGCCCGCUGGCGCCGCCCAGCGCGUCCCCGAGGCCCCGCCGCGCGGGCGUCCGGGGCAGGACGGCCCGGGGCGCGGGCCAGCAUCACGUUGCGGAGGAGCCGAAGGCUAGCCAGGAGAAAGCUCUGCACAAAAAGCGGGCUCCACACCCCUGGCAGGGAUCCGACCGCCUCUGCACUGCUGAAGGCUCACCCAGGCGCAGAUCAGGAGGGCAGUGCUUACAGAAGCUGCUGUCGGUUUCUGCCUAGUGUACAAUGUCUUUUCAUGCAGGACAGCGGAUGUGUAUCUUCAGAUGCAGCGGUCUGGGUCGUGUCAGACUCGCAGUGGACACCUGACAAGUCCCGCCCGAGGUGAGGGCCUCGUCCCUGUCAUCGGCACACCUGACACAGAGCACGAACCGUCACCGGGGCACGCUGCGGCUGGGGCUCCGCUGACCUGCCUGCCGACUCACGUGUGGCUCUUGGCUGUCUUCGGAAUGCUUGGAGACUCCUCUGCAGUUUCCUCGCAGAGAGCCCUCAUAUAGGGUGUUGCCUGCAAAUGGCCUGAGUUCCUCGUGACCAUUAAGCUAAAGAAGGAAUCCUCACGCCGAGCUGCCGCAAGCCUUCUUCACUAGUGGCGUUUAGUGCAGAGCAGCUGGCAGCUGUGCGGGAGCCCAGGCGCGGGGAGGUUCUGGCCAGUGAUGAGUGGCCGCGUCCCGCUGGCAGAGAAAGCUCUGUCUGAAAGCUACGCCCGGCUCCGGUACCGGGACACCUCCCUGCUCGUCUGGCAACAGCAGCAGCAGAAGCUGGCAUCCGCGCUGCCCGGGACGUACCUGAGCAGGAGCCGAAGCAUGUGGUACUCACAGUACGGGAACGAGGCCAUCCUCGUCCGGGACAGAAAUAAGCUGGACGUCUCUCGGGACACGGGGCAGUCCAGGUUUUGUUCUAUAAUGUAAUUCUGGGGUGAAAAUCAGCCCAGGCACCAGGCCGCCUUGCUGAUCCCUAGCCCUCCCUGGGAGAUUCUGACAGGGAAUGUGAAGGCUGCGCUGUGAUAGAAGAACCCCCAAACCCCAGAGGUGGCACCCCGCCCACUCACAGUCGGGGUGAUGGGUGGACUUCUGGACCCCAUCCUGACCCUGCAGGCACAGCCUGGGCCCAGCUAGAUGCUGUCCUGGUCACGCUUCCCAGUAAGUCACGCAAGAGAGAUACCCCAGGUACAAACAGCCUUUUCACAUUCUUACAGGUUGUGUCUAGUAUUCCCUUCUGCCUGGUGAAGAAUGGGUCAAAUCUAAAAAACCAAAACAGUGAAUUGGCGUCAUGUCGGAUCAGAAGUCCACCGGCAGGACCACAGUGGUUUUACAGGUCGUUGGCAGCAGCAUUUCGGCAGGAACCCUGUGGCACUGACUGGGGUUUGAGUCUAGUUACCAGAGCGAUCACUGCCCGCGACGCACCGUGAUGGCUUCGACACUAGCUGCCUGAUGCUGGGGGCUGCGGGCAAAGGCAUCCGGAAACUUAGGUAGGGGAAGCCCCCCAUUAUGAAGCUGCACGUCUGCUGCUAACAGCGACCUCAGGUUUGAUCACAGAGCUGAAAUAGGCAGGUUCUCAGCAGACAGCAGCUCAGCCUCUGCUCCAGGGCCGCAGCCCCCGGCCACCUGCAGUGCGUGAUGCGUGUCGGCUCCCCUCCGUGUGGGCAGGUUUAUGAGUCAGUUUUAAGGGAUUUGCUGUAAUUAAAGUCUGUGUGGCGAGGCAAAUGCAGAGGUGUCUUGCCGAAGCGGAAUUUUCUUUUUAAAUAAAUCUCCUUCAGGAGGCUCCUUCCUUCCUCACUCCAAAUUUCAAUCUGUCUGUUCAUAAUAUCCUACCUUGGCUUCUGGGGUUUUUGUUUACAACAGUAACAAUUGCUAAGAACCGCAGGGCAGGCAGCGCUCCGGGGAGCCCACAGGUGGGCAGAGACCGUCCCGCCGGACGUGCACACAGCGCAUCCAGAGCUUCCGUGUGCGUGGUUGCUCACGCAGGCGUGCAAGCUAGUCAGCAGACAGCAUCCAGAAGGGAAGGGCUGGGUCAGACUGCAUUCCCCACAGGCCACACGUCCAGCCAGAAGCCUGGUUCUCGCUGACAGAGCCUCGGCUUGCUUGCCGCCUCCGGUCGGGAGGCUGGAAGACCGAGUUCCUUUAAGUGGCUCCCGGAGAUGAAGAGGAAGCCUGUCUCACGUAGAGUCGGGCCUGUGCAGUGAAGGCUCGCCCGUCCAGGCGCUGGGACACUGGAAUCCCCUAGGAGAGGGGCCUUGCCGGCAUCUCUGCAGUCCUCUGACUGAAGUCCAGGUCGGGAAGGAAGCAAAGUUCUGACUUAGCUGGAAUGCCUCUGCCUCCCCCUAGACUGGCCGAGGAGCGGGCCCUGGCUGGUCAGCUGCAGUCACAGAGGCGGCGGCCAGGACAGGAGAGCAGGCACUGAGCUGCUCGGCGAGCGGGAGCCGCUUUGCCUCAGGGAAGCCUGGGCGCCUGGCCUUCCCGCCGGGGCUGGGACACCGAGGUAGGUGUGCUCAGUCCCCGACCUUGGGGGGCUCAGGCUGGGUGACGUGUGCCAAGGGAAUACAGGGGAGGGUGGCCUCGGGCCUGGACAGCACCCCACUGCAAGGCCUGGCUCCAGCAGUCACAUUUUGAAAACAGUGUCAGAACCUGCACUUGUCUCGACACCUUGAUCCCUUGCUGCCGGGUUCCAGGCUGCCUGGAAGAAACCUCAGCGUGUACACUGCCCCAUGUAGUUUCUUGGAAACAUCCUCGGGCCAGCCGGACGAGCACUGGAUGCCUGUGGUCUCAGGAAGCGCCUUAGCGUAGACGGAAGGCCCAGUGGGAGCGCCAGACAGAUGGUCAGGCUGGGCGGUGGGGGUGGGGGGUGGUGCCUGCGGGUCAGCCACUGGCCUGAAAAGGCAACACACAGCGCUCCUGAGGUCCUGGGGCCUCCCCAACCUGGGCUGAGGACCAGAGCCACUGGGCCGGCUGAGACCCCUUUGGCACGCUCCGGGCAUUCCCACCAGGAGCUACGGGAUGUUAAAACGAGGGCACCCCUCCCCCAUCACACACCAGCCAGGGGAGCGCUGGGAGCCCAGAAAGCAGAGACGGGGCCUCUUUUUUUUCUUUUUUCUUUUAUUAUGAAAACAAAACAAAUGCCCCAGGAGAAGGGUCCAUGAUCACCAGAAACAGUACUUUCUACCACUUUUAUUCUGUCGUGAUGAGGCCAGAACUGCAGUAAACAAGCUAAAGCUACUUACAUCGGACUCAUUUUCAGUAACUGACAUUCACAGGAAUAUACUAGAAACGGCACUAAAAAGUGUAAGAAAAGUUACGGCGAACUUGCAUGCACAUCAUACAGAAAAGUAACAUUUCAAAUAUAAAAAAAGGAAAACCUCCUGGAAGUGUCACGCCGGCACCAGGGAGCAGCGCUACACGGCUGUAACGAAGUCUUCAUUGUGGGCAGGGCUCCCCCCCACCCCCACCACACCUGUAAAAGAUGGGAACGGGGCAAAAGAACAGAAAAAGCAAACAAAACGAAAAAUGCAUCUGAACAGCCUGCAAGCAAGAUGAGUGAGCAAGGGUUUCUGGAGUUCAGUUCAUGGCCAAAGCCACCCCCUCGGCCCCCAGGGGUCGGGGAGACUGUUUGAAAGCCGCGAUCUCGAGUCCUGCACGGGUGCGACCCAGUGAACACGGUUCCCAAGCCUCGACGGGCUGCCCUCUAGUUCUAGGGAAACUAGAACAAUUUCACUUGCCCAACACAGGGGAAAUGAAAACAGCAAACACCCAUAGGCUGACGUCAGGGGGUGGAGGGAGUCCCCCCAAAACUCUGAAAUCAGUUUUGAGUCUGGACAGAAAGCCUAAGAAAAAAAAAAAA